rfam:Lachnospiraceae bacterium 3-1 genomic scaffold acPFp-supercont1.5, whole genome shotgun sequence.
GGUCAAGCAAAAAGGGCACAGGGCGGAUGCCUUGGCACUAAGGGCCGAAGAAAGACGCGAUAAGCUGCGAAAAGCCACGGGGAAGGGCAAAUACCUAGUGAUCCGUGGAUGUCUGAAUGGGGAAACCCACAUGGGGAAGCCCUCAUGUAUCCAUGCGCGAAUCCAUAACGCAUGGAAGGGAACCCGGUGAACUGAAACAUCUAAGUAGCCGGAGGAAGAGAAAGAAACAUCGAUUCCCUAAGUAGCGGCGAGCGAAAAGGGAAGAGCCCAAACCGGGAUGCGAGCAUGCCGGGGUUAGGACCGCAAAAGGGAAGAAGAAGGUAAGGGAACGGUUUUGGGAAAGCCGGCCAAAGAGGGUGAAAGCCCCGUACCUGAAACCGGAAAGGACCCAGCGGGAUCCAGAGUACAUCGAGACACGAGAAACCUUGAUGGAAGAAGCGGGGACCACCCCGCAAGGCUAAAUACCACUUAGUGACCGAUAGCGCAGAGUACUGUGAAGGAAAGGUGAAAAGAACCCCGGGAGGGGAGUGAAAGAGAACCUGAAACCGUGUGUCCACAAACUGUGGAACGUCUAUAGAGAGACGGACCGCGUACUUUUUGUAGAACGGUCCGGCGAGUUACGCGUGCUGGCAAGGUUAAGCGCCAAAGGCGCGGAGCCGGAGGGAAACCAAGCCUUAAGAGGGCCAGAGUCAGCGCGCGUAGACCCGAAACCGGGUGAUCUAUCCAUGUCCAGGCUGAAGCUGCCGUAAGAGGCAGUGGAGGGCCGAACGCGCAUCCGUUGAAAAGGGUGGCGAUGAGGCGUGGAUAGGGGAGAAAUUCCAAUCGAACCCGGAGAUAGCUGGUUCUCCCCGAAAUAGCUUUAGGGCUAGCCCCAUGGCAGACUGCCGGAGGUAGAGCACUGAAUUUCCUAGGGGGCGUCAAAGCUUACCGAAGAAUAUCAAACUCCGAAUGCCGGAAAGCCGAUCCAUGGGAGUCAGACUGCACGAGAUAAGUUGGGCAGUCGAAAGGGAAACAGCCCAGACCGCCGGCUAAGGCCCCAAAGUGCGUGUUAAGUGGGAAAGGAUGUGGGGUUUCAAAGACAACCAGGAUGUUGGCUCAGAAGCAGCCAUGCAUUGAAAGAGUGCGUAACAGCUCACUGGUCGAGAGGCCCUGCGCCGAAAAUUUCCGGGGCUGAAACACGCCGCCGAAGCCGCGGGAUGCAAGAAUGCAUCGGUAGGGGAGCAUUGCCGCAUCGAAGAAGCAGCGCCGAAAGGAGCUGUGGAGAAGCGGGAAGAGAGAAUGCCGGAAUGAGUAGCGAGAGGGAGGUGAGAAUCCUCCCGGCCGAAUAUCCAAGGUUUCCAGGGUAAAGCUGAUCUGCCCUGGGGAAGUCGGGGCCUAAGGCGAGGCCGAAAGGCGUAGCCGAUGGACAACAGGCGGAGAUUCCUGUACUGCGUGAUGACAGAACUGUGGGGACGCAUGCGCAAGCCAUGAGCCGGGAAUGGAAAGCCCGGCGCAAGGAGAGGAGGGCGCAGGGAGGGAAAACCCCCUGCAGAGCCCAAUGCUCUGACGCGGAGCGAAAUAAGAGUAGCGAAGCAUGGGGAGUGGGUGCCAAGAAAAGCCGCUAUCGUUUGUCACGCACCCGUACCGUAAACCGACACAGGUGGAUGAGGAGAGAAUCCUAAGGCCGACGGAAGAAGCAUUGCCAAGGAACUCGGCAAAAUGGCCCCGUAACUUCGGGAGAAGGGGCGCCUGCGCAAGCAGGCCGCAGAGAAAAGGCUCAAGCAACUGUUUAGCAAAAACACAGGUCUAUGCAAAACCGGAAGGUGAAGUAUAUGGGCUGACGCCUGCCCGGUGCUGGAAGGUUAAGAGGAGGGGUUAGCGCAAGCGAAGCCCUGAAUUGAAGCCCCAGUAAACGGCGGCCGUAACUAUAACGGUCCUAAGGUAGCGAAAUUCCUUGUCGGGUAAGUUCCGACCCGCACGAAAGGCGUAAUGAUUUGAGCGCUGUCUCGGCAAUGCGUCCGGUGAAAUUGAAGUGCCAGUGAAGAUGCUGGCUACCCGCGCCAGGACGGAAAGACCCCAUGGAGCUUUACUCCAGUUUGGCGCUGGGGCCCGGUGCUGCAUGUACAGGAUAGGUGGGAGGCGAAGAAUUGCUGGCGCCAGCCAGUAAGGAGCCGGUGUUGGGAUACCACCCUUGCAGUACUGGGUCUCUAACCAGCCGCCGUAAUCCGGCGGUGGGACAAUGCCAGGCGGGGAGUUUGACUGGGGCGGUCGCCUCCGAAAGGGUAUCGGAGGCGCCCAAAGGUUCCCUCAGGAUGGACGGAAACCAUCUAAAGAGCGCAAAGGCAGAAGGGAGCCUGACUGCGACACCGACGGGUGGGGCAGGUACGAAAGUAGGGCUUAGUGAUCCGGUGGCAUAAAGUGGGAUUGCCAUCGCUCAACGGAUAAAAGCUACCCUGGGGAUAACAGGCUUAUCACUCCCAAGAGUUCACAUCGACGGAGUGGUUUGGCACCUCGAUGUCGGCUCAUCGCAUCCUGGGGCUGCAGCAGGUCCCAAGGGUUGGGCUGUUCGCCCAUUAAAGCGGUACGCGAGCUGGGUUCAGAACGUCGUGAGACAGUUCGGUCCCUAUCCGGCGCGGGCGGAGGAAACAUGAGAGGGGCUGUCCCUAGUACGAGAGGACCGGGAUGGACGGGCCGCUGGUGGACCUGUUGGCAUGCCAAUGCCAUGGCAGGGUAGCCAAGCCCGGGAGGGAUAAACGCUGAAGGCAUCUAAGCGUGAAGCCCGCCUCAAGAUGAAGUUUCCCAACCGAAAGGAGUAAGACCCCUUGGAGAGUACGAGGUGGAUAGGGCAGAGGUGGAAGUGCAGCAAUGCAUGGAGCUGACUGUUACUAAUCGGUCGAGGGCUUGACCGA